rnacentral:rRNA from 1 species
AUGGGCGCAUGUACAACCAGUGCAGUCGGCAGCCGGCCAGGCAUGCAUGUACGCAGUGCACCCAUCGGUGCACUUCCUUUCUCUUCUUUUUCUUCUUUGCAGCAGUCUACUCCCACUUCUCAUCAGCCGGCCACCUUUUUUUUAAGUUGGUCCUUGACUUUUCUUUUCUUCCGGCCCCUUUUCUUUUUCUCUUCUCCAGCCGGCCACGGGCAGCCGAACAGCGAGAACCGGCCGGGCCGGACAACGGGCGAGCAGGGAGCCGGCAGCCGGCCAGGUGGCGGGCGAAGCCGGCGGGCCGGGAGGCGGGGAAGCCGUCGGCCCGGCAGGACGACCCGGAUGCGGAGCAGGCGGCCGGCGGGGCGACUCGGCGGUGGAGCAGACGGCCAUGGACGGGGCCGGCUCGCCAGGCGCGGAACGGGAGGCCGGGCGCAGCCGGCCACUGCGAGCCGGCACGGGCCGCGUGGGGAAGGGCGUGGGAGCCGGCGAUGGGGUGCGGCCAAGCGGCGCGUGGGAGGCGGCGAUGCGGGCCGGAGCCGCAAUGAGGCCGGGUUGCGGGCGUCGGAGGCCGGCAGGCCGGAUGGCGGAAGUCGGCGCGGGCGAAACCGGCCGGUCGGGUUGCGGAAGCCGGCGCGCAGGACGGGCGCGAGGGUGCAGGCGGAGCCCGACAGCGGGGAAGCAGCUAGCGCCGGGAGCCGGUGCAGCGGCUGGAGGGCCGGACCCGGCGCGGGCGACUCGGGAGUGGCCGGACUCGGCGCUGGGAGGGAGCCGGGCACCGCGGUGCGGACGUGCAGGGGGGCCGGAGCAGAGCGACGCGGGAGAGGGCGCUGUGGAGGCGGCGCAGGGCCGGACCCGGCCUAUGCGGAUGAAGCCGGCGCGAUGUGGUGUAGGCGGAGCUGGCAGGCAUGA